GGUGUGGAUAGGGGAGAAAUUCCAAUCGAACCCGGAGAUAGCUGGUUCUCCUCGAAAUAGCUUUAGGGCUAGCCUCGAUACAGAUUUGCGGAGGUAGAGCACUGAAUUUCCUAGGGGGCGUCAAAGCCUACCGAAGAAUAUCAAACUCCGAAUGCCGCGUAAUCGAUUAUCGGGAGUCAGACUGCACGAGAUAAGUUGGGCGGUCAAAAGGGAAAGAGCCCAGACCUUCAGUUAAGGUCCCCAAGUGCGCGUUAAGUGGAAAAGGAUGUGGGAUUUCGAAGACAACCAGGAUGUUGGCUCAGAAGCAGCCAUCCAUUCAAAGAGUGCGUAAUAGCUCACUGGUCGAGAGGUCCUGCGCCGAAAAUGUCCGGGGCUGAAACGCGCCACCGAAACUAAGGAACCGAAAGGUUGGUAGAGGAGCAUUGCAUGCGGAACGAAGCAGUACCGUAAGGAGCUGUGGACUGCAUGGAAGAGAGAAUGCCGGAAUGAGUAGCGAGAAUAAGGUGAGAAUCCUUAUGGCCGAAUAUCCAAGGUUUCCAGAGUAAAGCUGAUCUGCUCUGGGUAAGUCGGGGCCUAAGGCGAGGACGAGAGUCGUAGCCGAUGGACAACAGGUGGAGAUUCCUGUACUGCGGUAUGACAGAACUGUGGGGACACGUAAGGAAAGCGGAAGCCGGGAAUGGAAAGCCCGGUGCAAGCGGGGUACCAGUCACUUUGGCAAAUCCGGGUGGCAAUGGGAAGCCGUGAUGCGGAGCGAAAUAAAGUAGCGAAGUCCGUGAGCCAUGCGUCAAGAAAAGCCGCUAUCGUUUAUACCGUACCCGUACCGUAAACCGACACAGGUGGAUGAGGAGAGAAUCCUAAGGCCGGCGGAAGAAGCAUUGUCAAGGAACUCGGCAAAAUGGCCCCGUAACUUAGGGAUAAGGGGUGCCUGGGAAACCAGGCCGCAGAGAAUAGGCUCAAGCAACUGUUUAGCAAAAACACAGGUCUAUGCGAAACCGAAAGGUGAGGUAUAUGGGCUGACGCCUGCCCGGUGCUGGAAGGUUAAGAGGAGAGGUUAGCGCAAGCGAAGCUUUGAAUUUAAGCCCCAGUAAACGGCGGCCGUAACUAUAACGGUCCUAAGGUAGCGAAAUUCCUUGUCGGGUAAGUUC
rnacentral:rRNA from 1 species